rnacentral:rRNA from 2 species
CUUAGCGGCGGACGGGUGAGUAACACGUGGGCAACCUGCCCUUGAGACGGGGAUAACUCCGGGAAACCGGAGCUAAUACCGGAUAACACAUAUCUUCGCAUGAGGAUAUGUUAGAAGGUGGCUUUUAGCUACCACUCAAGGAUGGGCCCGCGGCGCAUUAGCUAGUUGGUGAGGUAACGGCUCACCAAGGCGACGAUGCGUAGCCGACCUGAGAGGGUGAUCGGCCACACUGGGACUGAGACACGGCCCAGACUCCUACGGGAGGCAGCAGUAGGGAAUCUUCCGCAAUGGACGAAAGUCUGACGGAGCAACGCCGCGUGAGUGAUGAAGGUUUUCGGAUCGUAAAGCUCUGUUGUUAGGGAAGAACAAGUAUCUGUUGAAUAAGCAGGUACCUUGACGGUACCUAACCAGAAAGCCACGGCUAACUACGUGCCAGCAGCCGCGGUAAUACGUAGGUGGCAAGCGUUGUCCGGAAUUAUUGGGCGUAAAGCGCGCGCAGGCGGUUCCUUAAGUCUGAUGUGAAAGCCCACGGCUCAACCGUGGAGGGUCAUUGGAAACUGGGGAACUUGAGUGCAGAAGAGGAGAGCGGAAUUCCACGUGUAGCGGUGAAAUGCGUAGAGAUGUGGAGGAACACCAGUGGCGAAGGCGGCUCUCUGGUCUGUAACUGACGCUGAGGCGCGAAAGCGUGGGGAGCGAACAGGAUUAGAUACCCUGGUAGU